UUUUAAGCGUCGCCGGACACCAAACCACCCCCCAACUGCCCCUAUAAAAGGCCAAGGCGAUGGAACCCUAGCCACAGUCAAACAGAGAGAGAGAGAGAGAGAGGAGAAGGGGGCGUUCAGGAUGAUGAUCUUUGCCGCUGCCGCCAAAGGGGACGCCAAGCGGGUGGACCGGAUCGCAGUUUGGUGGUAGGUAGAGGUUCUCUUGUGUUUCUUUUUUUGGAUUUUUAUUUAUUACUGGUUCUUCUAUGGUUCUUCUGUAUUCUUUCCAUGUUUUCAGAAAUGGAAGAUGGCACUGAGGAGCGGACGGAAGAAGGGAAAAUAGAGUCGAGGUGUUCUCUUCACGACAAUGAAGGAAAAAUGGAAGAAGAGAUUAGGAGUUGAGGAGUGGACUGAAGAAGAGAUUAGGGAUUCCGAAAUCCUUUUUGUAAUUUGUAAUUUGUAAUUUCUUGAAGAACGGAACACGGAGGUUGGAGUUCAAGUUGGGGUUGGGGUUAGGAGAUUGCUCUUUGUAAUUUCUGGGAUUAUUUUUAUUGUAAAAUUUCUGGGGUUAUUUCUAUUGCAAAAGAUAAUUUGAC
rnacentral:lncRNA from 1 species